rnacentral:rRNA from 1 species
ACGGGUGAGUAACACGUGAACAAUCUGCCCUGCGCAGGGGGAUAACGUCUGGAAACGGACGCUAAGACCGCAUAAGACCACAGAGGGACAUCCCUCAGGGGUCAAAAGAGUAACAUCUGGCGCAGGAUGAGUUCGCGUCCCAUUAGCUAGUUGGUAGGGUAACGGCCUACCAAGGCGACGAUGGGUAGCCGAGCUGAGAGGCUGAACGGCCACACUGGAACUGAGAUACGGUCCAGACUCCUACGGGAGGCAGCAGGGAGGAAUAUUGGGCAAUGGGGGAAACCCUGACCCAGCAACGCCGCGUGAAGGAAGAAGGCCUUCGGGUUGUAAACUUCUGUGACAGGGGAAGAAAGAAAUGACGGUACCCUGAGAGGAAGCCACGGCAAACUACGUGCCAGCAGCCGCGGUAAUACGUAGGUGGCGAGCGUUGUCCGGAAUCACUGGGCGUAAAGGGCGCGUAGGCGGUUUAUCAAGUCGCAUGUGAAAUACCAGGGCUCAACUCUGGGGGGUCAUGCGAAACUGAUGGACUUGAGUGCAGUAGAGGAAAGCGGAAUUCCUGGUGUAGCGGUAAAAUGCGUAGA